rnacentral:rRNA from 1 species
AGGAUUAGAUACCCUGGUAGUCCACGCCGUAAACGGUGGGAACUAGAUGUGGGGUCCGUUCCACGGAUUCCGUGUCGCAGCUAACGCAUUAAGUUCCCCGCCUGGGGAGUACGGCCGCAAGGCUAAAACUCAAAGGAAUUGACGGGGGCCCGCACAAGCGGCGGAGCAUGCGGAUUAAUUCGAUGCAACGCGAAGAACCUUACCAAGGCUUGACAUAUAGAGGAAAAGCGUAGAAAUACGCUCCCCGCAAGGUCUCUAUACAGGUGGUGCAUGGUUGUCGUCAGCUCGUGUUGUGAGAUGUUGGGUUAAGUCCCGCAACGAGCGCAACCCUCGUCCUAUGUUGCCAGCACGUAAUGGUGGGAACUCAUGGGAUACUGCCGGGGUCAACUCGGAGGAAGGUGGGGAUGACGUCAAAUCAUCAUGCCCCUUAUGUCUUGGGCUUCACGCAUGCUACAAUGGCCGGUACAGAGGGCAGCAAUACCGCAAGGUGGAGCGAAUCCCACAAAGCCGGUCUCAGUUCGGAUUGAGGUCUGCAACUCGACCUCAUGAAGUUGGAGUCGCUAGUAAUCGCAAAUCAGCAACGUUGCGGUGAAUACGUUCCCGGGCCUUGUACACACCGCCCGUCAAGUCAUGAAAGUCGGUAACACCCGAAGCCAGUGCCCAACCGCAAGGAGGGAGCUGUCGAAG